GGUCCGUUCAUCUAUCGGUUAGGAUACUGGGUUUUCAUCUCAGACAGAGGGGUUCGAUUCCCCUACGGACUA
rnacentral:tRNA from 1 species